rnacentral:ncRNA from 1 species
UUCUGGGAGCAUUGACCGAUUAAGAGCUCUUUCUUGAUUCGGUGCAUGGUGAUACAUGUCUGUUCUUAGUUGAUGGAGCGACUUGUCUGGUUAAUUCU